CCUACGGGAGGCAGCAGUGAGGAAUAUUGGUCAAUGGCCGCGAGGCUGAACCAGCCAAGUAGCGUGAAGGAUGACUGCCCUACGGGUUGUAAACUUCUUUUAUAAAGGAAUAAAGUGAGGCACGUGUGCCUUUUUGUAUGUACUUUAUGAAUAAGCAUCGGCUAACUCCGUGCCAGCAGCCGCGGUAAUACGGAGGAUCCGAGCGUUAUCCGGAUUUAUUGGGUUUAAAGGGAGCGUAGAUGGGUUUUUAAGUCAGUUGUGAAAGUUUGGGGCUCAACAGUAAAAUGGCAAUUGAUACUGGCAGUCUUGAGUGCAGCUGAGGUAUGCGGAAUGCGUGGUGUAGCGGUGAAAUGCUUAGAUAUCACGAAGAACUCCGAUUGCGAAGGCAGCUUACUAAACUGCCACUGACGUUGAUGCACGAAAGUGUGGGUAUCAAACAGGAUUAGAUACCCGAGUAGUC
rnacentral:rRNA from 1 species